rnacentral:lncRNA from 1 species
AAAUCCUGAGAGCUGAGCACAACUUGACUUUGUCUGUAGCUGGUCUCCACUGAUAUCACAGAAUCACUUCUCUUCUCCAGAGCAGCAGGGAGGAACUUGACUCAGAGCAAGGGCAGUGGAAGGAAAGAACAAAGAAGGUGGAGAAGAUGGAGUCCUUUUAUACCUGAAUUCAGGGUAAGACAUUUUUUUUUAAUUCUGUAGACAGCAGAUAAUUUUUCAUUCUUACUUUGCUGGAAAACCCAUCUUCGAUUUUUAGAGGCUAAUUUGGGGGACAGCAAAACCUGACUGAAUUUCCCAGUUAUUUCUACAAUC